ACCUGGUUGGCUCAGUUAGUAGAGCAUGUGACUCCUGAUCUCAAGACUAUAAGUUCAAACCCUACAUUGGGUG
rnacentral:tRNA from 1 species